rnacentral:tRNA from 1 species
CGGGGCGUAGCGCAGCCCGGUUUAGCGCACUUGCCUGGGGGGCAAGGGGUCGCUGGUUCGAAUCCAGUCGCCCCGACCA